GUGGGGAAUAUUGGACAAUGGGCGAAAGCCUGAUCCAGCCAUGUCGCGUGAGUGAUGAAGGCCUUAGGGUUGUAAAGCUCUUUCAGUAGGGAAGAUAAUGACGGUACCUACAGAAGAAGCCCCGGCUAACUUCGUGCCAGCAGCCGCGGUAAUACGAAGGGGGCUAGCGUUGUUCGGAUUUACUGGGCGUAAAGCGCACGUAGGCGGAUUGGUCAGUUAGAGGUGAAAUCCUGGAGCUCAACUCCAGAACUGCCUUUAAUACUGCCAGUCUAGAGUCCAGAAGAGGUGAGUGGAACUCCUAGUGUAGAGGUGGAAUUCGUAGAUAUUAGGAAGAACACCAGUGGCGAAGGCGGCUCACUGGUCUGGUACUGACGCUGAGGUGCGAAAGCGUGGGGAGCAAACAGGAUUAGAUACCCGAGUAGUCC
rnacentral:rRNA from 1 species